UUGCUGCUUGGUAUUUCUAGCGGCGGACGGGUGAGUAACGCGUGAGCAACCUGCCUUUAUCAGGGGGAUAACGCAUCGAAAGAUGUGCUAAUACCGCGUAAGACCACAACUUCACAUGGAGCAGGGGUCAAAGGAGCAAUCCGGAUAAAGAUGGGCUCGCAUCCGAUUAGCUAGUUGGUGAGAUAACAGCCCACCAAGGCGACGAUCGGUAGCCGGACUGAGAGGUUGAACGGCCACAUUGGGACUGAGACACGGCCCAGACUCC
rnacentral:rRNA from 1 species